rnacentral:rRNA from 1 species
UACGAAGGGUGCAAACGUUGCUCGGAAUUAUUGGGCGUAAAGCGCACGUAGGCGGCUCUAUAAGUCGGAUGUGAAAGCCCUCGGCUCAACCAAGGAAGUGCAUUCGAAACUGCAGAGCUUGAGUACUUAAGAGGAUCGCGGAAUUCCCGGUGUAGAGGUGAAAUUCGUAGAUAUCGGGAGGAACACCAGUGGCGAAGGCGGCGAUCUGGGAAGAUACUGACGCUGAGGUGCGAAAGCGUGGGGAGCAAACAGG